CCAUAUUGCACGCGCUAUUGACAAGUGCUGACCAAACACUUGUUUUCUGUAGGAACGGAAUGUCAACCGUUUCCCGUAAACUGCCGCUGUUUUUUAGUUAAGUAAAAAUAGAAUAAGGUUCAGUUGUAAUUAAUCUACCACCCAAUAAAGGAGAUAUUCGCGACUAAAAAUAUAUUUUUAUAUCUUUUUCUGUGGUUUUAAUCAAAAAAAACCUAACUUACACAAGCACCCAAACUCUGCGAGACUGUGGAGCUUAUUGAUGUGGACAAUUUUUCGCACAUUCCAAAUCUUGCGAUGCAAAUAGAAAGGCAAUACAACCUAGAGGAGGCAAGAAAAUGAAAGUAGCGACAGCGACACAGUUGAUCCCUCUAGAUUUGCAGCUCAGGAGGAGCAAUGACAGUUUUCUUCCGUUCUCUGCAAUUAUAUUUAAUCAGUUCUUUAGAAACAAUAGAAAAUUCUUACCUUCUUUAUUAACGCCUUUUGAUGCUGUAAAACAAAAUAAAAUAACAUUAUAUUUUAAAAGCAAAUCAGCAAAUGGCAUAUCUUUACAUGCAAUUUUUCGCAAUGCUGCAAAUUUUCUGUAAUAAUGGAAGUUUUGGUUAUACAAAGAAAACAAAAACCGCAAUGGUAACCUUAUUGAUCGGUUGCGUGUCGCAUUUUUCUAUGUAUAAAAUAAAAUAAAUUAUUUUUACAAUAUAAA